CGAAGGAAUUGACGGGACCCCGCACAAGCGGUGGAUUAUGUUGUUUAAUUCGACGCAACGCGAAGAACCUUACCAGGCCUUGACAUACUCGGCAAAGCCCUAGAGAUAGAGUGGAGGUUAUCCGGGAUACAGGUGGUGCAUGGUUGUCGUCAGCUCGUGUCGUGAGAUGUUGGGUUAAGUCCCGCAACGAGCGCAACCCCUGUCUCUAGUUACCAUCAUUCAGUUGGGGACUCUAGAGAUACUGCCAAGGUUAACUUGGAGGAAGGUGGGGAUGACGUCAAGUCCUCAUGGCCUUUAUGUCCAGGGCUACACACGUGCUACAAUGGGCGGUACAGAGGGUAGCGAUAUCGCGAGAUGGAGCCAAUCCCAAAAAGCCGUUCCCAGUUCGGAUUGGAGUCUGCAACUCGACUCCAUGAAGUUGGAAUCGCUAGUAAUCGUAGAUCAGCAUGCUACGGUGAAUACGUUCCCGGGCCUU
rnacentral:rRNA from 1 species